rnacentral:rRNA from 1 species
CCUACGGGAGGCUGCAGUGGGGAAUAUUGGACAAUGGGGGGAACCCUGAUCCAGCCAUGCCGCGUGUGUGAAGAAGGCCCUCGGGUUGUAAAGCACUUUCAGUGAGGAAGAACGCCUGGUGGUUAAUACCCAUCAGGAAAGACAUCACUCACAGAAGAAGCACCGGCUAACUCCGUGCCAGCAACCGCGGUAAUACGGAGGGUGCGAGCGUUAAUCGGAAUUACUGGGCGUAAAGCGCGCGUAGGUGGCUUGAUAAGCCGGUUGUGAAAGCCCCGGGCUCAACCUGGGAACGGCAUCCGGAACUGUCAAGCUAGAGUGCAGGAGAGGAAGGUAGAAUUCCCGGUGUAGCGGUGAAAUGCGUAGAGAUCGGGAGGAAUACCAGUGGCGAAGGCGGCCUUCUGGACUGACACUGACACUGAGGUGCGAAAGCGUGGGUAGCAAACAGGAUUAGAUACCCCUGUAGUC